GCCACAGACGUGACCCGCACUCCCUGAGCCGUAUCCAUAGCAACAAGCAUCGUCAGGUGAAUGCAGGAGGAGGUUAUUCUGUCCUGACCCAUUUCACUCCUACGUAAAACUCUGGAUUCAAAGCACAACGAAAUUUAAAUCCGCUCAUAGGCAAAGCAGAAACUGCCGCUGUCCUUCGCCCCUCUCCCAGCUCCUCCUCCUCCUGCUGAGUCUUGUUCUUCCUCGGCCUCGGAGACGUGUCACAUUUACAUCACAUUACUCAGUCUGAGAUGAUGAGAGUGCCGUGUACCCGUCAGCUCUGCUGCAGGUGAAGAGGGUUCACACACACACACACACACACACACGUUACAGUUAGCUUGAGAGAGCUCACACCCUGCAUGUAUGCAGCAUCACUCUGAGGUUCAUGGGAAAUGAGCGCUUCACCGUACAGCAGCCAUGAAAAUCGUCCUUCAUCUUAAAAACAGCUUUGUGUCAUCGCCGCACACCGAACGUCGUCCAAACGUUCAGGCUGUUUGAGGUGACACGCCGUCAGAGCUACAUGGCGUUACAGACGCC
ensembl:lncRNA